GAGGCUCCUGCUCUCCCAUUUCAGUAUCCCAUAUGACAUGGAAGAGCUAAGGGAUGCUUCUAAGGAGAUAGAACUUUUUUCCUUGGUUUCCCCAGAAUUUCAGAGCAUCUUCAUGGAGCAACAGAGAAUGCAAACAUUUCCAGAUUAUGACGCUGAGAUAGCUAAAGUGGAGAAUUUGGGUUUGGUAGGACCUGGUAUGGCCUUGAAAAAGAGAGCCAACUGGAUUUCCUUUAUAAAGAUUAAGCCAAAAUGUGAUCCUUGGCAAAAGAAGCUUUUGACCAAACUAAAAGAACGGAGAACAGAUGUAUGAAUGCAACUCCAAGCAAAGUUUUUGAAGAUUUCCAACCCUGAGAGAGUAAUGCAAGUGCUCCAAGAUCAUGCUGCAAAAACAGUCUCGCUGGCUUCAUCUCAUCCAACAUUUGUGGCUUCCCAGGGUUUGCAUCAGGGCAACUAUGACCAAAUCUGGGAGACUAUUUAUAGCAACAUCAACCUCUACCAGAAUGAAAACAUGAAGGAAGAUGAUCUUUCAGUGGAACGAGAUGAAAAUGACCCAGCACAAAUAAGUCUUAGCCAGUGUGCUCAUGAGCCUGUCAAGCAGAAG